UUCUUAGGUUCUCCAUCAUGUCUGUUUAGUUUCUAAAGCCUUCGCAGGAGGUGAUUAUAUGUCGGCGGGAGACCAUAUCAAGUAGCGCGAAGGAGAGACCUGGUUAUGCUUAAAUGAGAAUAGUUUAGUGUUCUCCUGCUUUCUAUGCUCUGUGCUAAGUUCGUGUUUACUUUGUUGUACCAAAAAUACUCUUUAAUUCAGCAUGUGUUCUUGUUUUUGUUUUAUAUAUAUCCCUGUGAAAUGAUUGUUCAGCAUGAUCAUGAGAUUGACACAUGAUAACUGCGUCCUUUGUAUUUAGUUUUUGUUUGCUACAUUGACCAUAAUUAUAUGAUGAUAGAAGCUGACUAAUCAUAUCAGGAUGUUAUAGGCAACCUAUUCUUUUCCGAGGAGCAAAUAUUUGGCACAUAAUUAACAACGGGCUUUUUUUUGGUUCCAUGGAGUGUCAUUGUCGUCUUUGUUGGAACAUUGGCUAGGCUGUUCCUGGGUGGACUGAAUGUUGGUUCAAGCGAUGCUACAACACAACACUGGCACACUAGAAGAAGCAGCCACCACCCGCUCUUCCACCAACUCCUUGGAUCAUGUAUAAGUUGUCGGAUCAGUGAUGGUUGUGCAAAGGAAAACCAUGGAGCAUGGCAAGAUUGAACUCGGACUUAACCUACUACUACUAUGUCAUCAUAAUGAUGCUCUAAGGUUUUCAGUUUGCCCCGCUGCUGGCCUUGUGUAGUUUACACGCAAACACCUAUUGCAGCUUGACAGUGUUGCCUUGUUGAACUAGCAGCCUAAAGCAAGAUAUGUGCUAUCCCGGGAGAAAAUUAGCAAGACAAGUGGCCUAUUUAUUUCUAGAGAUUCAGUACAACCCUUCAUUUUAGUUUAUAGAGUUUCAAGUUCCUUAAAGUUACCCCCCAGUUCCUUAAAGUACCCCUCACAAGCUUUGCUCGUAUUUUUAUCUGCUAUAAGGAAUAUAUUCAUUCUUUUCAACUUUUUGGCGAGAGAAUGGGAGACGGAUCAACUAUGAAGCGGAAAAGUCCAUUUUACCCACCUAUCCAUUACCAACCAUUCUGAUUUUACAUUCUGGAGCAUGUCUUGUACUUGUGGAUGUUUCUUGGUCUCCUUCUGCUAGGUAUUAUUAGUGCCUUCUUAUUUUGGGGCCACACAAUUGCUUUGUCACUUUGCUUAGUUCUAUGUCGUCUGUUAAGAUUUUGAGUUUUUGAUGGAAACUGAAGAUAGUACUUUUUGGUUCAUCCAUAAGUAAACACUUUUCGGCUGACCCCGUUCUCUUCUUUCGUCAAGGCUACAAGGUAGCAACAAUUGUGUCAGUUUACUGAAAGUGUUGUGGCAGAUUUUUCUAGAGCUUUUAUAUGUAUGAGAUUUGACUAUUAGAAAUAUACUUAAGCUCCCAUCUUCACUAAAUUUUUGUUACCCUAAUAUUUUCAUGAACCAUCAAUCCUACAUCAAUCGUACAUCAACCGGUGCAUUUUGUCCUAGCUGGGCCCUCACUUUUCCCCUUGAGCCUAGCCUCCCUCUUUUUGGCAUAAAGUCAUAUAUAUUAUCAUAACUUUAGUGCAAUAUGUACUGCAGAUUUAAUCCAGCUGACAUGGGGUUCUUACUCUUCGAUUUUAGGUAACAACCUGCCGACACAUGGUUGUUACUCUUCCACUUGUAAUUAUCGACUACGGGUCCAUUUUUGGCUGAGAUUUUGGUUUUGGCAGUGGGAUGUACGUACAUCUUGAAUCAAAAUGGCAGGUACAUCUUGACAUGGUUGUUUAUCACAGGCGUGAUUUGAGGAAGAUGCACAGUUUUCCAUCUUGAAUCAAUGCUGAGUUUUGUGCUCUCAAAUGAAUAUUUCCCUGCGUGGUUUGAGGAAGAUGCACGAUUUUCUGGCUAUGGAAAUUUAUUGUUUAUUUCAGUUUAGUCAUUGUUUAUUUUGGCUUAUUUCUGACAAAACUUCAUAACGUGCAGACAUCCACGUGAUAGAUUGAUGAUUUAGUUUUAUUGCAUAUGUUGCUUACCAAUGUGGUUAUGGUAAAGCCUGACAAGUUAUAGAAAUUGUGAAAUAUUUAAUAUCAAUGGACAAUAGCAGAAAAUGGGAAAACAAAAUCUCAUGGCAAAAAUGGAAGGCGAAUCUAAUAGAACCGUAAAUACUCUCCGCAUAAACUUUAAAUGACCAAUACAUGAAGGAUCAUCAUACAACUAUUUUGGUAUGAAACAUCAUGUAUAAUUCUGUAAAAUUUAGAUGGAUAAGAAAUAAACGCCACAUUUGAUGCUCAUAUAGCAACUAAAGACAUGAGCAAUCACCAAAAAUAUAGAUUUAAGCACUGAAAUAAAUUAUUUAUUAAAUUACCGUCCUAUAUGUGAACAUUCAUUGGCAUAUUAAUACUCUUUUAUUUGCACUUGCGCGAUAGCGCAACGGGUCAUC